CAGCAGUACUGGACACUUGAGGGCGUCGAGGAGGUCUUCGGCGACAAGGUGCGUGUCGAUCGGCUGGACAGCCGCACCCUGGAGCGCGACCACACCAAAACUUUCGCGUGCUGGGUGUGGGUCUGGGACAUGGCGUUCAUCCCAACCCGCCACACCUACUGGAAGCUGCCACAAGGCGCCGGCCGGGUGGAGGAGAUGGAGGGCUUUUCGCCGCCUGACCGCCGCGUGGCUCCGCCGCCCGGCGCCGAGCGCUACGACUUGCUCAUCCAUGUGGACCGGGUGGAGGACUGGUCGCCCAGAUCGCCCCGCUCCUCGCACUCGGCCCAGAGUGGA
rnacentral:rRNA from 1 species